rnacentral:misc_RNA from 1 species
AAGUCGUAACAAGGUUUCCGUAGGUGAACCUGCGGAAGGAUCAUUAACACGUAUCCAAACGUUAACCAAAGAGAAUCGUUUUCACCCUCCCUUCACGGAGAAUGAGCGGGGCCAACACAGGAUUUGAAAGGGACGUCUCGACGUCGUGCCUGUGAACGCUAUUUUUGUAGUUUAUUCUGCAAUAACGCUGUAUCUUUUGUGAAGAUUCAUCUUACAACCUUGUUCUCCUUUCAUUGAGCGCUGUUGUAGGAACUAUAUUAACUUAUUUCACCUUUUUUGCUAGUUGACUUUUAUAUGUUGUUCUUUGCGCUUGCGUAAAGUUCACACGUUUAAUUAUUUGAACGUUAAAAUUACAACUCUUAGCAAUGGAUAUCUUGGUUCUC